GGCGGGGCCAUCCAGUAGGGGAGCGGGAAGGAGCUUUACGGAGCGUUUGAUGCAAGGCCAAAAGCAAACUGGGAUAUCCAGUACUACAGAUCCAGAUAAAAAGAAAAAAAUAAGAGAACCCUGAGAUAAAUCUGAGUCAUCUGAAGCGCAGCUGAGAAAACAGAGAAGUGUCUGAACUCAAAGCAGCACUCCCUAGUUGCCUCACAAGGAAGGUGUCUCCAUGAAUACUGACCAGCCAGCAACAGCACUGCAGCCAGUCCCCUGAGAGAAAGCUCCCUCCAGUUCUGACCACUGCCACAGAAAGGAGAAUGAGAGCCCCCAACGCACUCCAAUGCUAUUCUUCAUGGGAUCUCAGCUCAUCACGACACAGAAGAAGAAACACUAGAAACUGACUUGUAACCAGUGCUCUUCACUCAGUGUUGUCAAGCACAUGUGUCACUGGGCUGGUAGAUUAAACCUGUGUCCAUAAUGAAGAGGAGGAGCCAAGUGGUCCACCAGUAAAGAUCCCAGUCUGCUUCAAAUGUUGUUGGUUCCUUUCCUAAUGGAUGCCACAAAUAUCCUGCACAGAACACAGCACAGACCACGUUAAUGCAGCACACCAGGGUGGCAGUGGCACUCUUCUAAGGCUGUUCCUCCAGGAAGCUCACCAACAUCCUUGCAGGAUCAGUCUGAAGCUACGCUUUGACACUUUGCCUUUUGCAUAGAGAGGCGGCCCUAAGGUUUUUGCAUACAUUGAUACGUACAUGAAAAAGCAGAUACUUGCCCUAGUCCCAGGCACUUGCAGUAAAGAUCCAUAGAGAACUUGAAUAAUCAUAAUUUCUUAGUGCGUGAAGGAGUUCAGACUACAGAAAGAAGACAUUUCCGAGAAACAGAUUUUAUAGACUGAGCUGAACAGAUUUUUGGCAUUAUUUGUAAGCCAGUCAUUGUUAAGCCUUUGUACUUAGAAGAGCAAUUAUGACUCCUUUGGAAACAUCCUUAGUUGAACUCUUAAAAUAAUAAAAACACUCCUCCGUAAGACCACAUUAACAUAUGGUUUUCGUAAUGACAGCACAAACAAAUCACCCACUCAUCAAACACAUUUAGGAAGAAGACAGGAACAAACAGAGCAAAAAUUUUCUAAAGAUUACUUAGAGGUCCUGAUCAGUCAGGGAAAAAAAGAAAAGAAAAAAGUGAACUAAACUGAAUUCAGGUCCUGUCUAUAGGAUAUUGAAUACAGACAAAAUAUGCAACAUACAAAUAACCAAAAUCAAGAAUACCACUAAACUUUGUAAGGCAAAGUUUAUAGAUAUUAAGCUGCAAAACUGUAUUUCAAAAAAAUGUCAAGCUGUGGAUGCCUAGCUUCCUAGUUUACUUUUGAACGUUGGUGAUGCAUCAUCAGUAAGCAAGAAAGAGACAAGGUGUGUUUGCACCAGUGACCAGCUGGAAUACCUUUGCUGGACUUACCACCCCCCAGUACUUUGCAGGCAAGUCCCAGCCAAACCAUAGUCUUCACUACAUGCACUGCUUCAUCCCCAGGAGCAGCAGCAGGAACCUGCAUCCUUGAAGCACAUGUGCAUCUUCCUGGGGCUGAGCACCGGGAACAACUGGGCUACCA
rnacentral:lncRNA from 1 species